GUUCACUAAAAGAUAAGAUUUUAAACAUGACACGAGGGAAAUACAUUUUCUCCUCAAUGAUCUUCCAUUGUAAGCCUCAGGCUGAAGCCACACUUUUGUGAUACCAGUGAUCAUUUCUGUACUGACUGGGCAGGAGAUACAGAAAAGAUCACCUCUCCAGUUUCCAAGGCUGGUGUCACGAUCACAUCAAGAUCGCCGCACCCCCAGGUCAGAGGUGGCAGAAGGAAGGACUGGGCUGGAGCCUGAAAUGGAAAAGGGAUUCUGCAUCUUUGGCGGAAGGCCAAAUGUUAGCAUCACAGAACUGAGAUGUGGAUCUACCAUGGCAGCAGAGUGAACUUAGACCAUGUUCUCCAUGUGUGCAGAUCCUGCGGUGCUCACAGGAACAACAGCAGCAGUGUCUCAUGACAUACGGGGUCACUUGAGAGGUCACCUUUGUAUCAGCCAACUGUAUCCUCAGCCAGCAGCAUCAGUGGAAGGAGCCAAACAAGGAUUCGAUCACUUUACAAUUUACUGCUCAUUCAUACCUCACAGGACAGAUUCUUCCAGUGUAAAAAGGGCCCCGUAGUAAAGUAUCAGAUGAACUCAAAGUACAAGUAAGAACAGUGAUUCCUAUCUUGGACUCCUACAAAGGAACUAAAUCUAAACCUAUUAGAGCUACUGGAGAAAAAGGAAGAUAACUAGAGACCUAUUUAAAUGACCAAGACUCCUAAAAAUCAGUGGAUCACUGAGACUGCUGUUCCCCAGAAGGUCCCAAAUUCCAUGAUUAUGACACUUGCUUUUAAAUUUGCUUUUAUCCAGGUCUUCCACAUGGUCCUCCCCAAUUAAAAUCUUGGCAGCGAUUUCUAGGCUGACGAUCUGUGGUGUUGACACCAAAAACAGCAUCACAAACUUCUGGCUCAUCACUCGUAAGGACUUGUCUUUGCGGCUGUUUACAGAAGCUUUGGAGAAGGACGAGGAUUAGAGAAUUAAAAUUCAUGAAAGGACAAGUGACUUCUAAAGUAACAGGGCUAAAAAUACCACCACCAGAUUAUCCAGCUGACAACUGCAGCAUUUUGACAUUAAAAGCCACAGUAGUGAUAGAAUAGUGUUUUCAUGGGGUCUUUUGAGACCCUUCAGAAAAGUUACACAGCCUGGACUUUUAUGUUUUAUUUUAUUUUUUAGAGAUGAAGUCUCUCCAUGCAGUGCAGGCUCGUCUUGAACCUGAUUAUGUAGCCCAGGCUGGCCUCCAACUUGAGGUGAUCCUCUUGUGUCUGUCUCCCAUGUGCUGGGAUUACAGCCCUGGCUGGUAAACCUGGCUGGCCUGGGCUUUUCAAUACCAUCUCUCACCUGCCCGAAAUUCCAUGCCAGGGAGUUCAACAAAACACAUCUCUGUAUGUCCAUUCUGGCCGGUGUUUGAUUUGAUGAUGUGAUCUUCUAUACUGUAACUCUUAAUGAAAUCGAACUCUUGUUCAUAUUCUUUCUUUUUGAUCAUCAUAAUCUGCUCGGCGUACUUAUUCUCCUCCCCGACGCUCUUCAGAGUGCCGAGGGUUUUGUUGAGAUUGUGUCGCCCAUGCCAGGUAUACCUGUUUUUGGCCAGUCGGCUCACCAUGUGUAAACUCUCCAGGACGUUCACAAUAUCGUAAAUUCGUCGACGUUCAACAUCUGUGAAGAAUAAAAAAUUGUGCAUUAGUAGGGUCAUGCUUUUGUGAUGUGUUCAGAAUAGAGUGCAUUUUCUUCUACGGUAUUAUUGGUCAUCAGGUUCUGAAUAAUACAAUUUUAUUUACUACAUGCAUCCUUAACAAGUGAUAUGUUGAGAAUGACAUAUACAUAUGAAUAAGACACUGUCUAUUGAGGACCUAGUAUGUGUUACACAGCAUUAGGAUAUUUCACCCUAACUUGUGAGGCAGGCAUAAAUAUCUCAUCACACGUACACAGAGUCCUGCCUACAGGAAUUACAUUAUUGGUAUAAAGUGCUGCAAUUUCAGAAAAGUGCAAAAACCGUGAUGUUUUCUAAAAAGUCACAUAAAAAAUAGAAUAUUAUAUCUCU